AUGGCAUAUCCCUCAGAGACAUACAUAACCCACAACCCAGCCCAGAUGGCAACAUCACCCUGAGGUGCUGGGCCCUGGGCUUCUACCCUGCGGAGAUCACACUGACCUGGCAGCGGGACGGGGAGGACCAGACCCAGGACAUGGAGCUCGUGGAGACCAGGCCUGCAGCGGACGGAACCUUCCAGAAGUGGGCAGCUGUGGUGGUGCCGUCUGGAGAGGAGCAGAGAUACACGUGCCUUGUGCAGCACGUGGGGCUGCCGGAGCCCCUCACCCUGAGAUGGGAACCACCGCCUGAGCCCACCAUCCUCAUUUUGGGGAAUCGUUGCUGGCCUGGUUCUCCUUGGAGCUGUGUUUGCCACUGUGAUGUGGAGGAAGAAGACAUCAGGGGGAAAGUGCGGGAGCCACACUCAGGCUGCCUGCAGCGACAGUGCCCAGGGCUCGGAUGUGUGUUUGGCUUAUAAGUGUGAGAGCCUGGGGGCCUGA